GGUGUUCUUUCAAAUGAAGUAUUUGAGCUUUGGCUUCACUAUUCACCUAUUUCUAUUUCAUCUUUCUCUGAAUUAAACGGUCUAUAUGAAGGAUUAUCUAUUAUUAUGUUUUAUAGAGUUAACGAGCGAGAUUAGGCCAUUCAAGUGAAAGUGUAUUUUCCUCCCUAAAUUGAUGAUGAACAAAUAGUUUGAUAAAAUUUACUUAAUUUUCCUAUCUUUUCUUUGAAAAUGAUUCUUGUUUUCAUUUAAAAAUUAUUUGAAUUGUUCACUGUGAAAUUGUGAAGAAAGAAAGCUCUUCUUCUUUCUUUCCUUUUUUUUUUAUGUUGAUUUUCGUGGAAAUUGGAUCAUGUUGAUUGCAGCUUGAGCUUUUGAAGGUGAAU
rnacentral:misc_RNA from 1 species